rnacentral:rRNA from 1 species
CCGGGGACGGGGUGGGAGGUAAGUUGUGUUGGGGUAAACAGCCUGAGGGAGGGGGAUAACUACUGGAAACGGUAGCUAAUACCGCAUAACGUCGCAAGACCAAAGAGGGGGACCUUCGGGCCUCUUGCCAUCGGAUGUGCCCAGAUGGGAUUAGCUAGUAGGUGGGGUAACGGCUCACCUAGGCGACGAUCCCUAGCUGGUCUGAGAGGAUGACCAGCCACACUGGAACUGAGACACGGUCCAG